rnacentral:rRNA from 1 species
UGACCGUACAAAGGUAGCAUAAUCAUUAGUUUUUUAAUUGGAAACUCGUAUGAAUGGUUGAAUGAGGAAUAAACUUUUUUAAUAGAAAAAUUGAAUUUUACAUUUUAAUUAAAAGGUUAAAAUAUAUUUAAAAGACGAGAAGACCCUAUAGAGUUUUAUAAUUUAUAUUUAAUGUUAAAAAAAAUUAAUAAAUAUUUUUAUUUAAAUAAUUAUUUUGUUGGGGUGAUGAUAAAAUUUAAUUAACUUUUAUUUUUUUUUUACAUUAAUAAAUGAAUAAUUGAUCCACUAAUAGUGAUUAAAAAAUUAAAUUACCUUAGGGAUAACAGCGUAAUUUUUUUUUUAAGUUCAUAUUAAUAAAAAAUUUUGCGACCUCGAUGUUGGAUUAAGAUUUAAUUUUAGGUGCAGAAGUUUAAAAUUUAAGUCUGUUCGACUUUUAAAUUCUU